UACCAGCACCCCGAGUGGUCGGGACGAUUAUUGGGCCUAAAGCAUCCGUAGCCGGUUUUACAAGUCCUCCGUUAAAUCCAGCUGCUUAACAGAUGGGCUGCGGAGGAUACUAUAAGACUAGGAGGCAGGAGAGGCAAGCGGUACUCAGUGGGUAGGGGUAAAAUCCGUUGAUCCAUUGAAGACCACCAGUGGCAAGGCGGCUUGCCAGAAUGCGCUCGACGGUGAGGGAUGAAAGCUGGGGGAGCAAACCGGG
rnacentral:rRNA from 1 species